GGCUGGAUAGCUCAGUCAGUAAAGCAUGAGACCCUUAAUCCCAGGGUUCAAGCCCCACUUUGGAUG